rnacentral:lncRNA from 1 species
CUCUCUUCACUAUGACCUUCUUCCCCCUUCCAUGUAGUUUAAGCUGCUGCCUAGAGCGUUUGGACAGCCUUUUUCUGCUGCCGGCCAAGCUGUCUCUCUGCCUUUUCCACACUGCACCUCACCCAGCAGUCAAAGUAGGCAGUCCCUCGGAUUCCUACCGCAGUGCUCUGGCUCAAGACCUUCCGGCACUUGUUACAUAUGUAUCUUAUUGUGAUUCUUCUUCACCUUGUUCUCUGACUGCCCCGGUGGGACAGCGAUUCUUGGUUGUUCACCCUUCAAUCUCUCUGGCUUACAAGAAGAGGAGGCGAGGUUGUCACAGAAGCCUUCAAUGUCUCUCAUUCUUGGUUACGAAUCUUCAGUCAUUGAUACCACUGCAGAGGAGCUUCGUCGCCCAUAGCAGCCCGUGGCUACAUGGAUCAUGGGACUUCUGCAUGGUUUUGGGGGGGGGGGGCAGCUUGGAUCACAGACAUCUACCUGGUCUCCCGCAGCAGCAUGGACCAUGAACAUCAACAAGGCCUGCUGCGGCAGGAAGAAUCGACACGGCCUCUGGAGGUGGCAUGGACCACGGACGUCUUUCAAGGAGACUUAAUCCAGAAAACGGAUCACUCAUCUCAGACAAUCUUGUUCAGAGUCAGUGUGUGCAGUUGGGCCGUGUGUCUGGGGGCAGGACCUGUGUGAAAUCCAGGCUGCUGCACAGCACUCUGCCCUUAGCUGCCCUGUCAACAGCCUAGGCACAACCAUCCUAUCUGCAGCACAAGGGCAGUGAGGUAACCCUGGAUCUUAUCCCCACAGCAGGGCGAGCAGCCAGAGAAGCUCCAGCUGCUGUAAUGUAAACAAAUAAUAUGUAAUAAAAAAAGAAAUAAAAGUAACAAAAAAA